rnacentral:rRNA from 1 species
UUAUACCAUCAUACCACCCUGAACACAUCCAGUCUUGUCUGAUUUCAGAGGUUAAGCAGGGCUGGGCCUGAUUAGUACUUGGAUGGGAAAUUACCAAAGACCUGGUCAGAGUGGGGU